AUAAUAAUAAUAAUAAUAAUAAUAAUAAUAUAUAAAUGUGAAUAUUAUUAUUGUUUUUACAAUCCUGUUUUUCUUGUUUGUUGUUGGUUAGUUUAUUAUUUUCGAGCUUGUGUUUUGUUUGGUAUUCUGUCCAACUUCCAUAAAUGUUUAUAUGCCCCAACUUUUAAAGCUAAAGAAUAAUACAGGUCUUUCAGGUGUGUUUUAAAGCGUGCUAAAGAAGAAUGCAGAAUGCAGGUGUGCUUUAAAGUGUGCUAAAGAAGAAUGCAGAUGUCUCCGGUGUGCUUUAAAGCGUGCUAAAGAAGAACGCAGGUCUCAGGUGUGCUUUCUGAACUUGUUACUUAUCCACCUGGCCCUACUUUCAUGAGGUUUCAGCCUUCAGUCUUCAAGGUUGAGAAAGAUAAUGAACUGUGUGAAUGGCCCUCUUCAGGUGCUGGCGCAUGUUACCACCGUGUGCCUUAUGAACUAAACACAAAUCAAGUGCACUUUAUGAUCAAGGCUCCUUCACUUGGCUGUGCAGCAUAUUUAUUGAGUGUGUAAUGGGAUCGGUUGGCCAUUUGUUUGUUUGUUUAGAAGUUAUAAUGACCCUCUCUGGUUCUUCUCUUACACCUCCCCUUUACAUUGGAUCCGAAGUCACCAGUGUUGGACACUAGUUUGGUCAUGGUAUCAUGAAGUAUUUUAUUAAAGCGGUUUAAAAA
ensembl:lncRNA